UGGGGAAUUUUGGACAAUGGGGGCAACCCUGAUCCAGCAAUGCCGCGUGUGUGAAGAAGGCCUUCGGGUUGUAAAGCACUUUUGUCCGGAAAGAAAUGGCGCUGGUUAAUACCUGGCGUCGAUGACGGUACCGGAAGAAUCAGCACCGGCUAACUACGUGCCAGCAGCCGCGGUAAUACGUAGGGUGCGAGCGUUAAUCGGAAUUACUGGGCGUAAAGCGUGCGCAGGCGGUUUGGUAAGACAGGCGUGAAAUCCCCGGGCUUAACCUGGGAAUGGCGCUUGUGACUGCCAGGCUAGAGUGCGUCAGAGGGGGGUAGAAUUCCACGUGUAGCAGUGAAAUGCGUAGAGAUGUGGAGGAAUACCGAUGGCGAAGGCAGCCCCCUGGGACGUGACUGACGCUCAUGCACGAAAGCGUGGGGAGCAAACAG
rnacentral:rRNA from 1 species